GUGGGUAUAGCUCAGUUGUAGAGCACAUGCUUAACAUGCACAAGGUCCUGGGUUCAAUCCUCAGUACCUCCA
rnacentral:tRNA from 1 species